GUGGGUAUGGCUCAGAGGUAGAGCAUUCAACUGCAGAUCGAAGUGGCUGUACCAUUUUGCAUUCCCACC
rfam:Pongo abelii chromosome X.